AAUGAACGCUGGCGGCGCGCCUAAUACAUGCAAGUCGAGCGAGAAGACGUAGCAAUACGUUUGUAAAGCGGCGAACGGGUGAGGAAUACAUGGGUAACCUACCCUUGAGUGGGGAAUAACUAGCCGAAAGGUUAGCUAAUACCGCGUACGCUUCUUGGACUUCGGUUCAGGGAGGAAAGCGAUGCCGAGGGUAUCGCGCUCUUGGAUGGGCUCAUGUCCUAUCAGCUUGUUGGAGGUAACGGCUCAACCAAGGCCUUCGACGGGUAGCUGGUCUGAGAGGACGAUCAGCCACA
rnacentral:rRNA from 1 species